CGCGGUGAAGAAAGGACACUCAAAGCUUUAGAGGAAAAGGCUAGUUUUUAAGUACUUGAAUACGAAAGAAUUUCAGACAUGCGUAUUACGUUUUUCCUGUUGGUUCUGUUUCUGUUGGCCGCCAGUCUGACUGAAGCUAAUGGAAAGUUUUACGAGGAAGAAAAUGCUGAAGUUCGCCGGCUCAGGGCGCUCCAAUACCCUCGUGAUUGCAAGCGUCAGAAGCUGAUAAACUUUGCGGGAAAAUGUGGUUUCGCUGUUAAAGCUGGCAAUAAUCACCUCAAGGUGUAUGAUGGCGGUUAUCUUUUUGCGAUUAUACCACACGAUGUGAAGAGUAGCUAUUCUUGUAAAGACACCAUCGAAAAAUUGAACGAACGUUGCAUGCAUCUAAUAGACUUCUGAACCUUUUACGCCACAACGUGAUUUUCAAAGCAUUGUGGCAUCGGUUAAAUUCUGGAGAAAAUACAAGAACUUGGCCAUCUUCUGUCCCAAACAUAUCCUACAAUGCAAUCCGUAUAAGUUACAUAAAAGCUUCAGAGGUCUGUUGUCGACAUCUCGAUCUGUUAAAUGUAAGAAAUUGAGAUUUGAAUAAACUAUACUUAAGCUUC